rnacentral:rRNA from 1 species
AACGAACGCUGGCGGCAUGCCUAACACAUGCAAGUCGAACGAGACCAAGGCUUCGGCCUGAAGUCUAGUGGCGCACGGGUGCGUAACGCGUGGGAAUCUACCCUUGGGUUCGGAAUAACAGUUAGAAAUGACUGCUAAUACCGGAUGAUGACGUAAGUCCAAAGAUUUAUCGCCCAGGGAUGAGCCCGCGUAAGAUUAGCUUGUUGGUGAGGUAAAGGCUCACCAAGGCGACGAUCUUUAGCUGGUCUGAGAGGAUGAUCAGCCACACUGGGACUGAGACACGGCCCAGACUCCUACGGGAGGCAGCAGUGGGGAAUAAUUGGACAAAUGGGCGAAAGCCUGAUCCAGCAAUGCCGCGUGAGUGAUGAAGGCCUUAGGGUU